GGUUGGAUUCCCAUGUUAUUUUGUCAACCUGGUGGAUUAUAGCACUUUGAACCUAACAGUGAGAAAUUCUGCAAAGCACUUAACACCCACACUGUUUCUAGAAGGGCCAGAAAUGUUUGUGUACAUAGUAUGGUCAUUCCUAACAGAAGCUAUUAAUAUAAUUUAUUUUAUUUUUGGCGCAGUAACAGUGUACCGUCUGAAGAAAAUCUUCAUGCCCUCCCUGAAUGCCAUACAAGUGUGGCUCACUCUUAUUGGGGGACACUCAACACUUUACCUGUCCAUCGCCAGACUAUGGACACUUCAGCUGUUUGUGCAUGUUUUGAGCUUUAAGCAGAUAUUUCUAGCAGCCUUUGUUUACCUGUUUCAUUUCAUGCUGUCAUAUGUCCAUGUACACGUGUUUAUAUCUAGGUAUGUGCCCCAGUGGCAAGCAAAUGAUAUGGAACAGAAAAUACCUGAAGGCAGCUCUCUAGAAAAACUGGUGUUGUUCUACAGACCAAUUUUGGCCAACAUUCAAAUGUCCCUACUGGCUCUGGAAAUGCUGGUGUUCUCACUGAGUGUCAUGAUGGCAGUUUGUAAUUCUUUUUACAUCCUGGUAUCAGAUGCAGUGUUUGGUGCUGUCAACCUAUUCCUCAUCAUAUCUCUGGUGUGGCAUAUCGGGGCAGAAGUGUUCCUGGCCAAGUACCUAAGACAUCAUGUUGGAUUUUACAUUGGGCUUUUUGUGGCAUAUGUUAUUAUGCUUCUCCCUGUUAUCAGAUAUGAUGCCAUCUUUGUCACCUCGCGGCUUCACAAACCAAUUACUAUUAAUAUGACAAUAAUUCCCAUAAUAUGUCUAAUAAUAAUUGUUGUGAGAAUCAUCAGACUCAGAUCACAGACCAGCACCAAGGUGACUUAUAAGAAAUUGGGUAUUAGCGGCGCCAUGGAAGCACAACCUUUCCAGUCUAUCCCACAACCCCCCAGAGCAAAAUAUACAGACUUGGAGACAGAAUCAGAAGAUGAACUAUAAACAUUUUAUUAAAGUAAUUAAAGCAAAU
rnacentral:tmRNA from 1 species